UCAUACAAAUGGGCUCGUACAGUAUGUGUCCUUUCAUGUCUGACUUCUUUCAUUUAACACAGUGCGCUGGGGAUUCAUCAUGCUGUGGUGGUUGAACUGAGGCUUAGUGAUUUGCCCUCACAGCUACUGUCACAGAAAGCUCAGAGCCAAAUUGAAUGUGAAUUGAAACCACUCUCCUGGGUUUCUGGGGUAAGUGUCUUCCAUUUCAGUUGGUUAUUAUUGUGAUGGUGUGGAUUGUGGAUCUGUAAAGGUGGCGAUGAGGAGGUAGGCUGCAUUGUUUGCUGAAGCAUGGGGCUUCAGGCACUGCCCUUUGGGGUAUCAUGGGUGGGGAAGGGGUUCUGACCAUUUUUCAAAUGCCACACUCUCAGUUUUCCAUAACAAUCUCUAUAUUUCAUUUGGCCAUUUUUAGAAAAUACUUUCAGAUAUGUAUUUGAAAAUAUUUAAAAAUAAGAUCUUGAA